rnacentral:ncRNA from 2 species
CGCAACGGUAAGCGAGUGCGGAUUUGCCAGUAUGCCACUGUGAGCGAUCAUGGGAAGGCGGCAAAUCAAGACUUGCGAGCCCGGAGACCGGCCCCGGAGCAAAGGAACAG